rnacentral:ncRNA from 1 species
GCCGGGACGGCCCGGCGUGCCGGAACCACCGCAGGACGACCUGC